rnacentral:rRNA from 1 species
UACAGAGGGUGCGAGCGUUAAUCGGAAUUACUGGGCGUAAAGCGCACGUAGGCGGACUUGUAAGUCAGGGGUGAAAUCCCGGGGCUCAACCUCGGAACUGCCUUUGAUACUGCGAGUCUCGAGUCCGAUAGAGGUGGGUGGAAUUCCUAGUGUAGAGGUGAAAUUCGUAGAUAUUAGGAAGAACACCGGUGGCGAAGGCGGCCCACUGGAUCGGUACUGACGCUGAGGUGCGAAAGCGUGGGGAGCAAACAGG